rnacentral:rRNA from 1 species
UACGAAGGGUGCAAACGUUAUUCGGAAUCACUGGGCGUAAAGGGUGCGUAGACGGCAUGUUAAGUUCGUUGUUAAAGGCUCCGGCCUAACCGGAGUACCGCGAUGAAAACUGGCGUACUAGAGGGUGAGAGAGAGAAGUGGAAUUCCUGGAGUAGCGGUAAAAUGCGUGGAUCUCAGGAGGAACAACCAAUGGCGAAGGCAGCUUCUUGGCUCAUUCCUGACGUUGAGGCACGAAAGCGUGGGGAGCAAACAGG